GCGGGAAGAGCUCAAAUUUAAAAUCUGCAAGGUUCAACCUUGCCGAAUUGUAGUUUGAAGAAGUGUUUUCCGCGGCGGCUGCAGUACAAAUCCUUUGGAACAGGGUAUCAGAGAGGGUGAGAAUCCCGUCUUUGACUGCAGACUAGUUGCACUGUGAUACACUUUCUAAGAGUCGAGUUGUUUGGGAAUGCAGCUCAAAAUGGGUGGUAAAUUUCAUCUAAAGCUAAAUAUUGGCAAGAGACCGAUAGCGAACAAGUACCGUGAGGGAAAGAUGAAAAGAACUUUGAAAAGAGAGUUAAAUAGUACGUGAAAUUGUUAAAAGGGAAACGCUUGAAGUCAGUGUUGCCGGCUGAAAAUCAGCUUCGUGCGGAUGGCUUGCUGCGGUGGAGGGAGUGUCAAAACCCCUUGCCGUAGUACAGCUAGCCGGACGGAGUGCACUUUUCAGUCGACAGGUCAACAUCAAUUUCAGCCGGUGGAAAAAAGCCAGUGGAAUGUAGGUUGGAGCAAUCCGACUGUUAUAGCCACAGGUGUAUACACCGGCGGGGAUUGAGGACAGCAGUGCAGGCCACUAUGGCGGAAGCGCCGCACUUUUCUCCGGGGGGCACGUCAAGACAGCAUGCUGACUUGGUGUGUACACUCUUGGGAACGGGGCGGAUGUACUUCUCCUGCACUAAGGAUGUUGACGAAAUGGCUUUAAACGACCCGUCUUGAAACACGGACCAAGGAGUCUAACAAAUAUGCGAGUAUUUGGGUGGCAAACCCAUAUGCGCAAUGAAAGUGAAUGUAGGUGGGAUCCCCUUCGCGGGGGAGCACCAUCGACCGAUCUGGAUUUUUUAAAGAUAGAUUUGAGUAAGAGCAUAUCUGUUGGGACCCGAAAGAUGGUGAACUAUGCCU
rnacentral:rRNA from 1 species